rnacentral:rRNA from 1 species
UACGAAGGGGGGCUAGCGUUGCUCGGAAUUACUGGGCGUAAAGCGCACGUAGGCGGACUCUUAAGUCGGUGGUGAAAUCCUGGAGCUCAACUCCAGAACUGCCUUCGAUACUGAGAGUCUCGAGUCCGAGAGAGGUGAGUGGAACUGCGAGUGUAGAGGUGAAAUUCGUAGAUAUUCGCAAGAACACCAGUGGCGAAGGCGGGUCUCUGGGCCGAUACUGACGCUGAGGAGCGAAAGCGUGGGGAGCGAACAGG